GGUUACGGGGCGCCAUCCAGGUCCUGCAGACUGCUCGUAGAAAGCGCUUUGCGGGCGACGAGGACAACGCGACCGUCGAUUCGGACGACGAGGAGGUGCGCUCCGUGGCUUCUGAUAGUCUACUGGGGUCUCCCCGUCAUGACGUGGCCGCGCCGCGCUUCCGUCUGGC
rnacentral:SRP_RNA from 1 species